CUGCCCUCCACUUACCAUGUAGACUCCAGAAGAGCUGGAUCAGCUUCUCAAAUAUCCCUUGUCUGCCGCAGCAGCCCAGCAAACAUCGCCAUCUACUCAUUCCCAUAGUACACUAAUCCCUUCCUGGCUUGGCACAAGAUUUAGAAGAACAUUUCCUGCUCUCAUCUCCUUCACUUAAAGUUGCAAUCAUCUCUAAGAACCAGAGGGUGCCAGCUACACUCCUGAACCCUCUGCAAAGGGAACCACCACGGCUGCUGAGCCUCACAAGAAAAGAACAACUAGAUAUGAAACGUUUUUUCCUCAAAGAUGACUACCACCCAAUUUUACGGCAUGACAGAGAGGAGUAGUAAAGCCACAGUCUCCUUGAGUAACUCUUUUGAAAUAGAGGCAAAAGGUCUACCUUUCUAAUUUUAUUGAAAGAGGCAAGCAGGAAGAUUAUACCAUGCAACAAUCCAGAUCUGGGCUUUGCAGAGCAUCUUUUCAACACUGUUGCUAAACCUCUCAGAUUUAAAGGAAGAGAAAGAGAAAGAAAAAACCCUGCAAAAUAGGUCCUGUUUAGAUGGGAUCCCUGCCUUUGUUGGAUGGGACCUUCCUAUAAGGACAAACUUGUCUUGCAUCCUUGAUGCUUCCUACUUACUCUCCUCCCCAAAAUGAGAGGUUAAGCAUGGGUUUGCAGGGGUGAUUUAAAAAACAGAAGUCUUAAGGAGCAGCAGGCAGGCAGCCUCCAAAUGCAGGGGUGGAGAGAAGCUACAGAUGGGCUGAUCUCUCAGGCGCUCCACUGAAAUCCAGGGAGGUGGGAACGGGUCUGCAAAGGGACUUAAAACACUGCUGAGACUUUCUGAAAACCUCCUAAGAUAAAAGUCAGGGAUUUAACCCCAUCACACUGUAUGACAUAAACUCUGUCCCAUCUUCAAACAUCACAAACCCCACAUAUUUCUAGCAGUACAUAUAGAAACACCUUUUAAUGCCUAAACUACGUCUACACUGUCAGAGUCUGAAGCAUUACUGCCAUAUCUUCAUAACCUUGAUGAGACCUGUAGCACAAAGAAAGCCUGUGUGAGUUUUUAAUCCCAUAUAGACAGAGCUCUAAGUUGCUGACUUCUGUAUUAAGUUGGACUUCCAGGCUCUCAACUAUCUGAAACAAAAAAAAAAACCAAAAACCCAAGCUCUGCAAGCAUCAUCUUGUCUUCUGCAUUCAUCUAUUCUAUAGGUCUACUAUGUGGACCAAGUUGACCCUUUUUUCCACUGAACAGGUAA